rnacentral:rRNA from 1 species
UGGGGAAUAUUGGACAAUGGGCGCAAGCCUGAUCCAGCCAUGCCGCGUGAGUGAUGAAGGCCUUAGGGUUGUAAAGCUCUUUCGGCGGGGACGAUAAUGACGGUACCCGCAGAAGAGGCCCCGGCUAACCUCGUGCCAGCAGCCGCGGUAAUACGAAGGGGGCUAGCGUUGCUCGGAAUCACUGGGCGUAAAGGGCGCGUAGGCGGACAUUUAAGUCGGGGGUGAAAGCCCAGGGCUCAACCCUGGAAUUGCCUCCGAUACUGGGUGUCUCGAGACCGGAAGAGGUGAGUGGAACUGCGAGUGUAGAGGUGAAAUUCGUAGAUAUUCGCAAGAACACCAGUGGCGAAGGCGGCUCACUGGUCCGGUUCUGACGCUGAGGCGCGAAAGCGUGGGGAGCAAACAGGAUUAGAUACCCUGGUAGUCCACGCCGUAAACGAUGGAUGCUAGCCGUUGGCAGGCUUGCCUGUCAGUGGCGCAGCUAACGCUUUAAGCAUCCCGCCUGGGGAGUACGGCCGCAAGGUU